GUAGGGAAUAUUGGGCAAUGGAGGCAACUCUGACCCAGCCAUGCCGCGUGCAGGAUGACGGCCCUCUGGGUUGUAAACUGCUUUUAUACGGGAAGAAAAAAUACUACGUGUAGUAUACUGACGGUACCGUAAGAAUAAGGAUCGGCUAACUCCGUGCCAGCAGCCGCGGUAAUACGGAGGAUCCAAGAGUUGUCCGGAUUUAUUGGGUUUAAAGGGUGCGUAGGCGGAUCUUUAAGUCAGUGGUGAAAGCCUGCAGCUUAACUGUAGAAUUGCCAUUGAAACUGAAGAUCUUGAAUGUGGUUAAAGUAGGCGGAAUGUAUCAUGUAGCGGUGAAAUGCUUAGAUAUGAUACAGAACACCGAUAGCGAAGGCAGCUUGCUGAACCAUUAUUGACGCUGAGGCACGAAAGCGUGGGGAGCGAACAGGAUUAGAAACCCCAGUAGUCC
rnacentral:rRNA from 1 species